AUCGCCGUUCCCCCUCUCUUUUUUUUCUUCUUCUCUUCAAUCGAGUUUCUAUUUCUCACUUGUGCUCCGUCGUCGUCUUCUUCUCUCUCUCUCUCUCUUUCUCUCUCAUGCUGAAACACUAGCUCCUGUCACUCUUCCUCUGCUGAUUGAAGAUCUGUUCCUCAUGGUUGUCAUCUUUUACUUGACAAAAACCAAAUUAUAUUCUCUGUGUUAGUUCUUCUUGAGAAAUCGAAGGUUGAGUCGAAGCUAAGAGAGACAACUACGAGGCUGGAACAACAAUUGGUAGAAAAGCAAGUUGCUCGACUGAAGGUUUAGAUAUAUAUAUAAAAAAAAAAAUGAUACUUCUUUAACUUGAUAGACAACACAAGUAUUGACAUAUUGUUGCUCUGCUGAUGGUUUAGAUAUAUAUUGGACAUCAUUUUAAGCUAGGCUAAUCUUUCAUAAAGCUUUUGUUUGUUGUCUUGCAAUAUAUUGGACACAAUCUCAAUUAAAACAAGAAAGAAAAUUAUGGCUGAGAAAACAGGAGGUUUUAUACUCUAUGAAUUAAAUACAUUUACUUGGUCAGUUAUAAACAGAGAGAGCAAGAAGUCAUCUUAUAAUUAAUGUUGCUGUCAAAUAUAGUUUCCCCAAACAGUUUUCCCAGUGGGAGAUGUAACUAUUGUUGGAAUCAUUUGGAAAUUUUUAGAUAUGGAACAAUUUUGGACAAGCUUAGUAAGACAAGACAUUGCCUUUCUGUUGUUAUUGUUUUCUUUAUAUAAAUGCACUGUGGUUGUCCAUUAUUUACAACCUAGAAUAUUUUUAUUUUAUAAUUUGUUGACCUUAUACUGCUAAAGUUGUCAAAAGUGCAGCUUUUAAGGUAUGCAACACUCUCUCUAUUUCUUUCAUUUGGCAUAUAUUAUAUGGAGUAAUGGAGUCUUCUACUUCUUAAUACUUUGUUACUCUAUACGUUAAGGAAUUUAAAAGCACGAGUGGUGAAGAAGCUGCAGUUUUGGCUACUUCCAGAGCUACAUCCACUAUUAUUGAUGCUUUUAGUUCAAUUGAAGUUUCAAGGAGUUUAGUAGCAUCAAUGAUGAGAUAGUGAAUCCACGCUGUACAGAUACAUAAACUAAUAAGGAUGAAAAAACCUUUCAGAAAAUAAUGGAACAAGGAGUAUGAAAAAAUAGAAGACCAAGCUUUGUAGUUUAUUGUUGUGUAUUGGAGUUUGAUUAAAGCAAUGAAUGUGUUUUGUAAUAUUCUUAGCAAAUUAAUUCAAACAAU